rnacentral:rRNA from 1 species
GAUGAACGCUGGCGGCGUGCCUAAUACAUGCAAGUCGAGCGAACAGACGAGGAGCUUGCUCCUCUGACGUUAGCGGCGGACGGGUGAGUAACACGUGGAUAACCUACCUAUAAGACUGGGAUAACUUCGGGAAACCGGAGCUAAUACCGGAUAAUAUAUUGAACCGCAUGGUUCAAUAGUGAAAGACGGUUUUGCUGUCACUUAUAGAUGGAUCCGCGCCGCAUUAGCUAGUUGGUAAGGUAACGGCUUACCAAGGCAACGAUGCGUAGCCGACCUGAGAGGGUGAUCGGCCACACUGGAACUGAGACACGGUCCAGACUCCUACGUGAGGCAGCAGUAGGGAAUCUUCCGCAAUGGGCGAAAGCUUGACGGAGCAACGCCGCGUGAGUGAUGAAGGUCUUCGGAUCGUAAAACUCUGUUAUUAGGGAAGAACAAAUGUGUAAGUAACUAUGCACGUCUUGACGGUACCUAAUCAGAAAGCCACGGCUAACUACGUG